rnacentral:rRNA from 1 species
GACGAACGCUGGCGGCGUGCUUAACACAUGCAAGUCGAACGGAAAGGCCCUGCUUUUGUGGGGUGCUCGAGUGGCGAACGGGUGAGUAACACGUGAGUAACCUGCCCUUGACUUUGGGAUAACUUCAGGAAACUGGGGCUAAUACCGGAUAGGAGCUCCUGCUGCAUGGUGGGGGUUGGAAAGUUUCGGCGGUUGGGGAUGGACUCGCGGCUUAUCAGCUUGUUGGUGGGGUAGUGGCUUACCAAGGCUUUGACGGGUAGCCGGCCUGAGAGGGUGACCGGCAACGUGGGGAGUGGGAACCGCCCAAGCUGCCUCGGGGCGGCAGACGUGGGGACUGUGGGCCAAUGGCCGGAGCCCUGUUCAAGCACCGCCUGGGCCGGGAGGAGGGCUUCCGGGUUGUAACCGGCUUCGGCCGGUGCGGAGGCGUGGGUGCCGGAAGUGGGAAAAGAGGCCCCGGCUACCUACUG